AUUGAACGCUGGCGGCAGGCCUAACACAUGCAAGUCGACCGGAUGAAGGGAGCUUGCUCCUGGAUUCAGCGGCGGACGGGUGAGUAAUGCCUAGGAAUCUGCCUGGUAGCGGGGGAUAACGUCCGGAAACGGGCGCUAAUACCGCAUACGUCCUGAUGGAGAAAGUGGGGGAUCUUCGGACCUCACGCUAUCAGAUGAGCCUAGGACGGAUUAGCUAGUUGGUGGGGUAAAGGCUUACCAAGGCGACGAUCCGUAACUGGUCUGAGAGGAUGAUCAGUCACACUGGAACUGAGACACGGUCCAGACUCCUACGGGAGGCAGCAGUAGGGAAUAUUGCGCAAUGGGCGAAAGCCUGAUCCAGCCAUGCCGCGUGUGUGAAGAAGGUCUUCGGAUUGUAAAGCACUUUAAGUUGGGAGGAAGGGCAGUAAGUUAAUACCUUGCUGUUUUGACGUUACCAACAGAGUAAGCACCGGCUAACUUCGUG
rnacentral:rRNA from 1 species